UACGGAGGGUGCGAGCGUUGUCCGGAAUCAUUGGGCGUAAAGAGCGUGUAGGCGGCUCGGUAAGUCCGCUGUGAAAGUCCAGGGCUCAACCCUGGAAUGCCGGUGGAAACUGUCGAGCUAGAGUCCGGAAGAGGCGAGUGGAAUUCCUGGUGUAGCGGUGAAAUGCGCAGAUAUCAGGAGGAACACCAAUGGCGAAGGCAGCUCGCUGGGACGGCACUGACGCUGAGACGCGAAAGCGUGGGGAGCAAACAGG
rnacentral:rRNA from 1 species